rnacentral:misc_RNA from 1 species
AUGAAGAACGCAGCGAAAUGCGAUAAGUAGUGUGAAUUGCAGAAUUCAGUGAAUCAUCGAAUCUUUGAACGCACAUUGCGCCCCCUGGUAUUCCGGGGGGCAUGCCUGUCCGAGCGUCAUUACAACCCUCAAGCUCAGCUUGGUGUUGGGCCCCGCCGCCCCGGCGGGCCCUAAAGUCAGUGGCGGUGCCGUCCGGCUCCGAGCGUAGUAAUUCUUCUCGCUCUGGAGGUCCGGUCGUGUGCUCGCCAGCAACCCCCAAUUUUUUUCAGGUUGACCUCGGAUCAGGUAGGGAUACCCGCUGAACUUAAGCAUAUCAAUAAGCGGAGGA